rnacentral:rRNA from 1 species
UAUCUCUGUAGAGUCUGCAUAUCAAUAAGCGGAGGAAAAGAAACUAACAAGGAUUCCCUUAGUGAACGGCGAGUGAAGCGGGAAGAGCUCAAAUUUGAAAUCUUCAAGGUUUUACCUUGACGAAUUGUAGUUUAAAGAAGUGUUUUCUGUUAGAUGAGUUCGGUAAAAGUUCCUUUGGAAUAGGGACAUCAUAGAGGGUGAGAAUCCCGUAUUUGACCGUUAUUAUUCUAGCUUUGUGAUACACUUUCAAAGAGUCGGAUUGUUUGGGAAUGCAGUCCAAAAUGGGUGGUAAAUUUCAUCUAAAGCUAAAUAUUGGCGAGAGACCGAUAGCGAACAAGGUACCGUGAGGGAAAGAUGAAAAGAACUUUGAAAAGAGAGUUAAACAGUACGUGAAAUUGUCAAAAGGGAAGCGUUUGACACCAGUGUUGUUUUUCUCGAAAAUCAAUUAAGAAUGGCUUGAUUUUGUGUUGUAUUGACCUUAUCAGCUUUCUGCACUUUUUUUCGAGUCUUUCUUAAUGCACUUUUUCGGUUAACAAGUCAACAUCAAUUUCUUUUGUUGUAAAAGAGUAUUCGGAAGGUGGCUUUCUUUUCGGAGAAAGUGUUUAUAGCCCUAUACUUCUACAAUCGGAGAGAUUGAGGUCUGCAGCGUAGAUCCUUCGGGGUUAGAUACAUUUGUGCUAAGUUGUAGCUUUUCAUAGACAACUUGUUGACUAUGUUUAGUCAUGCGGCUUACUCGCUUAUGCUAUUUUACCUACGCUUAGGAUGUUGAAGAUGUAGCACAUCAU